CCUACGGGAGCAGCAGUGGGGAAUUUUGGACAAUGGGCGCAAGCCUGAUCCAGCAAUGCCGCGUGAGUGAAGAAGGCCUUCGGGUUGUAAAGCUCUUUUGUCAGGGAAGAAACGGUUGAGGCUAAUAUCCUCGGCUAAUGACGGUACCUGAAGAAUAAGCACCGGCUAACUACGUGCCAGCAGCCGCGGUAAUACGUAGGGUGCAAGCGUUAAUCGGAAUUACUGGGCGUAAAGCGUGCGCAGGCGGUUUUGUAAGUCUGUCGUGAAAGCCCCGGGCUUAACCCGGGAAUUGCGAUGGAAACUGCAAGGCUUGAAUCUGGCAGAGGGGGGUUAGAAUUCCGACGUGUAGCAGUGAAAUGCGUAGAGAUGUGGAGGAACACCGAUGGCGAAGGCAGCCCCCUGGGUCAAGAUUGACGCUCAUGCACGAAAGCGUGGGGAGCAAACAGGAUUAGAUACCCUGGUAGUCCACGCCCUAAACCGAUGUCUACUAGUUGUCGGGUCUUAAUUGACUUGGUAACGCAGCUAACGCGUGAAGAGACCGCCNGGGAGUACGGUCGCAAGNUAAACUUAAAUGAAUUGACGGNGNGNGAGNGCGACGACGACGACGAGGAGGAGG
rnacentral:rRNA from 1 species